rnacentral:rRNA from 1 species
CCCUAUUAUAAUUAAUGUGAAUUGAAAAUUUUGAGUAGUAUAUGCUUCGGGCAGGAAACUUAAAGAAUUUGGCGGUGUAUAUUCUAAUUAGAGGAAUAUGUUUUUUAAUUGAUAAUCCACAAUUAUCUUACUUAAUUUAUUUAUUUUGUAUAUCUCCGUCUUAAAAACUUUUUAAAAUAUUUUUUUAAUAUUAUAAUCUAAAAUAAGUCAGGUCAAGGUGCAGAUUAUAUUUAAGUUAAAAUGUAUUACAAUAAAAUUAUUUUUGGAUCAAGGUUGGAAUGGUUUUGUAAAAUUGGAUUUAUAAAUAAAAUUUUUUAGAUAAUAAUUAUUUGAAUAGUGUUAAUAUACAUGCACGCAUC